GGGGAUGACUUGGAUUCGACGCCGGUGACGAAACCAUGGGUGCAUGCCGUGAUGGCAGCCAAUCACGUAAACCCAAAGCUGCAAUUUAUUAGUUGCCAACGACGACAACUACGGUGCCCAACUCGCUGCGUAAGCAGCCUGUGAAGCACUACUAAGGGUUCGCCCCUUAGCGGCCUUCAGCAAGGUGCCAGUACCGCGCUGUAGGCUGUCAUACAGAACUGGAUCGCCGUGAACCGCGCCUGUCGGGGAUCGGUUAAAACUUUUACAGGCUCGCCAAUUACGUCCUGCCCGUUGGGCUGUAUGCGGCCAAAUCAAUAAACGGAACUAAGCAUGUAGAGCUCAUGGCAGAGUGCUGACGGACGCGGGUUCGACUCCCGCCAUCUCCACCA
rfam:Microbulbifer sp. ZGT114 ZB100001, whole genome shotgun sequence.